rnacentral:rRNA from 1 species
UCGAGGGGUAUAGUUCUUCGGAACUAGAGACCGGCGCACGGGUGCGUAACGCGUAUGUAAUCUACCUUUCACAGAGGGAUAGCCCAGAGAAAUUUGGAUUAAUACCUCAUAGUAUUAUAGUAUGGCAUCAUAUUAUAAUUAAAGUCACAACGGUGAAAGAUGAGCAUGCGUCCCAUUAGCUUGUUGGUAAGGUAACGGCUUACCAAGGCAACGAUGGGUAGGGGUCCUGAGAGGGAGAUCCCCCACACUGGUACUGAGACACGGACCAGACUCCUACGGGAGGCAGCAGUGAGGAAUAUUGGACAAUAGGCGCAAGCCUGAUCCAGCCAUGCCGCGUGCAGGAUGACGGUCCUAUGGAUUGUAAACUGCUUUUGUACAGGAAGAAACACCUCUACGUGUAGAGACUUGACGGUACUGUAAGAAUAAGGAUCGGCUAACUCCGUGCCAGCAGCCGCGGUAAUACGGAGGAUCCAAGCGUUAUCCGGAAUCAUCGGGUUUAAAGGGUCCGUAGGCGGUUUAGUAAGUCAGUGGUGAAAGCCCAUCGCUCAACGGUGGAACGGCCAUUGAUACUGCUAGACUUGAAUUAUUAGGAAGUAACUAGAAUAUGUAGUGUAGCGGUGAAAUGCUUAGAGAUUACAUGGAAUACCAAUUGCGAAGGCAGGUUACUACUAAUUGAUUGACGCUGAUGGACGAAAGCGUGGGUAGCGAACAGGAUUAGAUACCCUGGUAGUCCACGCCGUANAUGAUGGAUACUAGCUGUUGGGCGCNAGUUCAGUGGCUAAGCGAAAGUGAUAAGUAUCCCACCUGGGGAGUACGUUCGCAA